rnacentral:lncRNA from 1 species
AAAAAAAAAAAAAAGAAGAAGGGAAGGACAGGAACUGCAUAACUGCAUUUACGUACUCACUGGGUACCAGACGUAUAGAAAAUUUCACUCUAUCACAUAUAAUUACAGCACCUCUAAGAGGCAGGUGUGAUUAUCUCCAUUUUAUAGUUAAGAAAACUGAGGCUGAGUAAUGUUAAAUUAAUACAUAGUAGAAAUGGAAUUCUUGGUAUAUCUGAUUCAAAACCCAUGCCUUUUCUGCUACGCUAAGCUACAAUCAACUUAGAUAGGACUUCGAUGGAGGAUUACACAUCCCUUCUGCAUUAGCUCUUUAUUGCUGUGUAACAAAUUAACCCCAAAUUUGGCAGCUUACAGCAGAACAUUUUCUAACAGUUUCUGUGGAUCAGGGGUUCAGGUAUGUCUUGUUGAGUACUGUGCCUCAGGGUUUCCCACAGAGCUGUAGUCAACAUGUCUGAAAUAAAAUUUGCAAGGAAGAAAAUAUUUAAAAGCAAGAACAAUAUAAAUCAUAUUUAAUGGUAAAAUGUUAAAUGUUUUUCCUUGCAGAUUAAGAAACAGAUAAAGAUGUCUCUUACCACCACUGAAUAUUGUGGUAGAGAUCCUAGUCAAUACAGAGAAACAAGAAAAAUAAAUUAUGAGGAUUGGAAAAGGAAGAAAUUCAACAGUCUUUAUUCACAGCUGUGAUUGCUUGCCUCUGCAGUCUCUGCAGGAGUCAGAGGAUGGAGCUGCAGAGCCUCUAAGGCCAGAAUUAGGCCCAACAGGGGAGGAUGCAGACAGGCACAUCAAGACCCCAUACAAAGGAAAACGUCCUAAGGGCCACAGGAAUAGGCUGCUUUAACGGGAUACUGAGCGCCCUGUCACCACUGGAGUUCACACAAAGGCUGGAGAACGACCUGACCGAAGCAGCGGACGAAUCCUCGCCCUGGGUGACAGGUGAGAAGUCUAUGGUCAAGGCGCCUGAACUCUGGGCAAGGACCUUCUUGCCGCAUCAUCCCAUGGCAGAAGGCAGAAAGGUAAGAGAGAGAGAAAGGGGUGAGGCGACUGAACUCAUCCUUUUACAAGGGACCCACUUUUGCAAAAACUAACCCACAACCCACUCCUUCAAUAACAGCAUUAAGCCACUCGUGAGGGCAGAGCCAUCAUGACCUAAUCACCUCUCCAAGGUCCCACCUCCCAGCACUGUUGCCUUGGGGAUUGCAUUUCCAAUACACAGACUUUGAGGGACACAUUCAAACCAUAGCAGUUGCCCCAGAUCUUGCCAGGCUGGAAUUUAUUUCUGGCCUCCUGUCUAGUAAAGACCAAUGUAGUUUCCUGUGAUUGGAUUGCGGCUAGGGGACCUGGGUUUCAGUUUAGACAUUUCCAUGAACUUGCUGCAUUCCCUGUAGGGACUCAUUUCCCAUCUGCGGGCUCAUUUCCAUGAAGUUGCUGCAUUCCCUGUGGGGACUCACUUCCCAUCUGUGGGCUCAGGACAGUCAGGUGUGAAGCAAAGGCAACACAUCAGUGAGCCCUCCCUCACUGCUGACCCAUCCCCUUGCUUCCUUGACUUUUCUUUGCUCUGUAUCUCAAGUGAGCGCUGGACCUGCCUCAGGCACCACUGCGAUGCAGAGGCUUGGAGGGUUUUUUGGGUUCAGUUACAGUUUCUGAGCCUCUUGGCUCUGGUCACUUUUUCAGUGGAACACUUCUUCUUCCUUUUAUUUUUUAAGAGAAAGGGGCUAGGCAUGGUGGC